rnacentral:tRNA from 2 species
GGUUGUGUGGCCGAGCGGUCUAAGGCGCCUGAUUCAAACUCAGGUAUCGUAAGAUGCAAGAGUUCGAAUCUCUUCGCAACCA